AUUUUUAUAUUUUCAGGAGCAGAUGAUUCUUGCCGGAUUUUACGUAAUAUCUUAUAGCAAACGCGGCAAGAAUCAUCUGUUAAUGCAGAGGAGCCUCCUGAACAUUACUGUACCCUCAAAACGUACUGGUAGUCGUUACAUUUUCCUGAUAAAAGAGUGCGUUUCGAAUGAUUCCAGGGUAUAAAUUCUUAAACAUUUCUUAAUUCUAGGCUUCUUUCAUUUGGAUAUUUGAUAAGUUUCAUCUGAGAGGUGUCUUUUAUAUUUCACAUAGCAAGAAGGUUCGCAACCCUUUGCGUUGCAACGCGCUUUCUCAUUUCAAGACCAACGUAGAAAUAAUUAUUUGGGCUCAAGUCGACACGGUAUUAUGAAAAACUGAUUUUUUGUGGAGAAAUAGUGAAACGAAGAAUCGACACGUGGAGACACAGUAACGAUUCUAGUAUCAAAGAAACAUUCGUACGAACAGUUAAUGCAGACAAGACGAAGUCCUUCGGUUUCGAGCCUAGAUGAACAUCGAUGAUGAGGUCGCCGUAAUUCACGGUCCGAUUGACGAAGUAUCGGACUUUCUCGUUGCCCAGAUGAUACGUGUUCAUAGCAAGGCAAUAACCGACGCCUGUUUUCCGCAAUUCCUGGAACUCCGAGCAGCAGUUGAACUUCUUGCCGUUCCACGUGCAUUCGGCCAACAAAUCCGGGCACUUGUAUCUCAUCUGCGAUCAAAACAAGGAAUCGCUUGUGACGCGUAACAUAGAGAAAGAUGAAGAGAGAUCGAUGUAGACAAUUUAUAAACACGGUGCACACGGAAAUAGCACAUGGAAAGUAUCACGAAAAUAUCAUGCAAACAACGCGAGACGUGUUAUCAGAAGCCGUGGAGUGCAUAAUUUUAAAAACGGAAUAAUUUCUUGCCUCGUCGUAUAGGGACAGCAAUUCUUCUGACGUUGUCUGAAGUAGAUCUGAAUUAGAAUUUCCGAACUGGGGGCUGCUGAAAAAAAGGUUCCGCGCGUCUAUAAACUGUAAACUUUUUCCAAGGAGCACCGCUGAUGCAAGCGAGAGAAACAACCGAAAGACUUCGGCGCUGUAAAUCCUUCAAGGCGUGAGCCGCCUCGAAAGUAAAUGGUAAAAAGUAAAGGAACCUAAUCGCAUUGUAAACGGUGCGUUUUAGAAUCUUUCCGAAACACAUACUGGAAAUGCAGAAAACAAUCGCAGGGAAUGGUGUUUCCCAAUCAGUGUACAUGCUUUCUACGGUUACUGCGACAGGGUAUUCGAUGUAGUUCAUCACAACGUCGGUGAUCAUUUUUACACAUCCAUACCAGCACAGAAUGCAGGAGAUUAGCCAAAAGAGUCUACGAACAGAUCAAUAUUUGAAAUUAUUCACGAUUGUGGAAAGAGGAAGAGAAUUUUACCAACAUUCAGAGGUGUCUUCACUUUCCCGAUAUUCUGUUACCUUUCCGGGUAGGAAAUCUGAUCAUCCACAAGAUAUCUAACACCGUGGAUGUUGCAGUUGCUUAAAUAUUGUUUGAUGACUUUCCAGCACCAAACGAAUGCCUUCCACAUCAUCCUUUUUUCACGAAAAAAAAGAUCUAUUCUCUGGUUGCCAAGUAAAGUCUAAAAUCUUUAAUUUUGUUACACACCAAAGAACUGCAGUUUGUUCUUCAGUAGGAAGAACCUAAGUUAGUGCAAUGGUUACUUAACUGUUCAAAAUCAAUCUAUGUGAAAAACAAACUAUGAUAAAUAUAAUUUUGUUAUUUGUCCAAAACGAUACAAACAAAUUUAUAUUGUACAAUUUAAAAGAGAAGAAAGAUAUAAAAGAUUCUUUUCUCAAGUCCGAUGCGAAA